UACGAAGGGGGCUAGCGUUGCUCGGAAUCACUGGGCGUAAAGCGCACGUAGGCGGACUCUUAAGUCGGUGGUGAAAUCCUGGAGCUCAACUCCAGAACUGCCUUCGAUACUGGGAGUCUCGAGUCCGGGAGAGGUGAGUGGAACUGCGAGUGUAGAGGUGAAAUUCGUAGAUAUUCGCAAGAACACCGGUGGCGAAGGCGGCAUCCUGGACCGAUACUGACGCUGAGGAGCGAAAGCCAGGGGAGCAAACGGG
rnacentral:rRNA from 1 species